rnacentral:rRNA from 1 species
AGCGAACGCUGGCGGCAGGCUUAACACAUGCAAGUCGAACGGGCGUAGCAAUACGUCAGUGGCAGACGGGUGAGUAACACGUGGGAACGUACCUUUUGGUUCGGAACAACACAGGGAAACUUGUGCUAAUACCGGAUAAGCCCUUACGGGGAAAGAUUUAUCGCCGAAAGAUCGGCCCGCGUCUGGUUAGCUAGUUGGUAGGGUAACGGCCUACCAAGGCGACGAUCAGUAGCUGGUCUGAGAGGAUGAUCAGCCACAUUGGGACUGAGACACGGCCCAAACUCCUACGGGAGGCAGCAGUGGGGAAUAUUGGACAAUGGGGGCGAACCCUGAUCCAGCCAUGCCGCGUGAGUGAUGAAGGCCCUAGGGUUGUAAAGACCCUUCGGUCGGGAAGGAUAAUGACGGUACCCGCAGAAGAAG